UACAGGGAUAAAGAAGGAAGCUCUCUUGCUGCAGAAUUAAGAGGCAUCAGUUAAAUACUGCCAGGCUCAGCUUCAGCAGCUGCCAGAGGCCCUGAUGCAAAGCAUUUUAAGAGGAGCAUUCUCUGUUCCCACAGGCCACAGUUUCUACUCAGGAGCAAAGAAGGGAGUGGGACAGUGCUACAAGCUAGUGCCCAGGAAAGGAGAAAAAAUGAGCAGGCCAAGAAGGAGGCAGAUGAAAAGGAACAGGAGCUGCUAAGACAGCAGCAGAAGGAGCAGCAGGAAACAUGAAGGCCCAAGAGAGAAGCUUCCGGGAAAUAUGGAACAGCUUAAAGAGAUCAUAGAGAAAGGGAGAACAUUCUGAGAAGCAAGAAUGGAUGCUGGAGCACAAGCUGAAGGUCCAAGAAGAACUGCUUACAAGGAAUUUAGAGAGAAAUUGGAGGGAAGAAAUACAGAGAUAAAUUGACUAAGAGAAGAUAUUGAAACAUGUAAAAAGUAAAAAUCAAUGUUUUCACACA